UACAGAGGGGGCAAGCGUUAUUCGGAAUUAUUGGGCGUAAAGAGCGUGUAGGCGGCCAGGUAGGUCGGUUGUGAAAACUGGAGGCUCAACCUUCAGACGUCGACCGAAACCAUCUGGCUAGAGUCCGGAAGAGGAGAGUGGAAUUCCUGGUGUAGCGGUGGAAUGCGCAGAUAUCAGGAAGAACACCCGUGGCGAAGGCGGCUCUCUGGGACGGUACUGACGCUGAGACGCGAAAGCGUGGGGAGCGAACAGG
rnacentral:rRNA from 1 species